UACGUAGGGGGCAAGCGUUGUCCGGAUUUACUGGGCGUAAAGAGCGUGUAGGCGGCCAAACAGGUCCGUUGUGAAAACUGGAGGCUCAACCUCCAGACGUCGACGGAAACCGUGUGGCUAGAGUCCGGAAGAGGAGAGUGGAAUUCCUGGUGUAGCGGUGAAAUGCGCAGAUAUCAGGAAGAACACCAAUGGCGAAGGCAGCUUUCUGGGACGGUACUGACGCUGAGACGCGAAAGCGUGGGGAGCGAACAGG
rnacentral:rRNA from 1 species